GGAAUAUUGCACAAUGGGCGCAAGCCUGAUGCAGCCAUGCCGCGUGUGUGAAGAAGGCCUUCGGGUUGUAAAGCACUUUCAGCGAGGAGGAAGGGUUCAGUGUUAAUAGCACUGUUCAUUGACGUUACUCGCAGAAGAAGCACCGGCUAACUCCGUGCCAGCAGCCGCGGUAAUACGGAGGGUGCAAGCGUUAAUCGGAAUUACUGGGCGUAAAGCGCACGCAGGCGGUUUGUUAAGUCAGAUGUGAAAUCCCCGCGCUUAACGUGGGAACUGCAUUUGAAACUGGCAAGCUAGAGUCUUGUAGAGGGGGGUAGAAUUCCAGGUGUAGCGGUGAAAUGCGUAGAGAUCUGGAGGAAUACCGGUGGCGAAGGCGGCCCCCCUGGACAAAGACUGACGCUCAGGUGCGAAAGCGUGGGGAGCAAAACAGGAUUAGAUACCCUGGUAGUCCACGCUGUAAACGAUGUCGACUUGGAGGUUGUGCCCUUGAGGCGCGGCUUCCGGAGCUAACGCGUUAAGUCGACCGCCUGGGGGAGUACGGCCGCAAGGUUAAAAC
rnacentral:rRNA from 1 species